rnacentral:rRNA from 1 species
UACGCAGGGGGCUAGCGUUGUUCGGAAUUACUGGGCGUAAAGGGCUCGUAGGCGGCCAACUAAGUCGGAUGUGAAAUCCCCGGGCUCAACCUGGGAACUGCAUUUGUGACUGCAAGGCUAGAGUACGGCAGAGGGGGAUGGAAUUCCGCGUGUAGCAGUGAAAUGCGUAGAUAUGCGGAGGAACACCGAUGGCGAAGGCAAUCCCCUGGGCCUGUACUGACGCUCAUGCACGAAAGCGUGGGGAGCAAACAGG